rnacentral:rRNA from 1 species
UGUUUCGGCUAGGGGGUCAUCCCGACUUACCAACCCGAUGCAAACUACGAAUACCGAAGAAUGUUAUCACGGGAGACACACGGCGGGUGCUAACGUCCGUCGUGAAGAGGGAAACAACCCAGACCGCCAGCUAAGGUCCCAAAGUCAUGGUUAAGUGGGAAACGAUGUGGGAAGGCACAGACAGCCAGGAUGUUGGCUUAGAAGCAGCCAUCAUUUAAAGAAAGCGUAAUAGCUCACUGGUCGAGUCGGCCUGCGCGGAAGAUGUAACGGGGCUAAACCAUGCACCGAAGCUGCGGCAGCGACACUAUGUGUUGUUGGGUAGGGGAGCGUUCUGUAAGCCUGCGAAGGUGUGCUGUGAGGCAUGCUGGAGGUAUCAGAAGUGCGAAUGCUGACAUAAGUAACGAUAAAGCGGGUGAAAAGCCCGCUCGCCGGAAGACCAAGGGUUCCUGUCCAACGUUAAUCGGGGCAGGGUGAGUCGACCCCUAAGGCGAGGCCGAAAGGCGUAGUCGAUGGGAAACAGGUUAAUAUUCCUGUACUUGGUGUUACUGCGAAGGGGGGACGGAGAAGGCUAUGUUAGCCGGGCGACGGUUGUCCCGGUUUAAGCAUGUAGGCUGGUUAUCCAGGCAAAUCCGGAUAAUC